AGAGUUUGAUCAUGGCUCAGAUUGAACGCUGGCGGCAGGCCUAACACAUGCAAGUCGAACGGUAACAGGAAACAGCUUGCUGUUUCGCUGACGAGUGGCGGACGGGUGAGUAAUGUCUGGGAAACUGCCUGAUGGAGGGGGAUAACUACUGGAAACGGUAGCUAAUACCGCAUAACGUCGCAAGACCAAAGAGGGGGACCUUCGGGCCUCUUGCCAUCGGAUGUGCCCAGAUGGGAUUAGCUUGUUGGUGGGGUAACGGCUCACCAAGGCGACGAUCCCUAGCUGGUCUGAGAGGAUGACCAGCCACACUGGAACUGAGACACGGUCCAGACUCCUACGGGAGGCAGCAGUGGGGAAUAUUGCACAAUGGGCGCAAGCCUGAUGCAGCCAUGCCGCGUGUAUGAAGAAGGCCUUCGGGUUGUAAAGUACUUUCAGCGGGGAGGAAGGGAGUAAAGUUAAUACCUUUGCUCAUUGACGUUACCCGCAGAAGAAGCACCGGCUAACUCCGUGCCAGCAGCCGCGGUAAUACGGAGGGUGCAAGCGUUAAUCGGAAUUACUGGGCGUAAAGCGCACGCAGGCGGUUUGUUAAGUCAGAUGUGAAAUCCCCGGGCUCAACCUGGGAACUGCAUCUGAUACUGGCAGGCUUGAGUCUCGUAGAGGGGGGUAGAAUUCCAGGUGUAGCGGUGAAAUGCGUAGAGAUCUGGAGGAAUACCGGUGGCGAAGGCGGCCCCCUGGACGAAGACUGACGCUCAGGUGCGAAAGCGUGGGGAGCAAACAGGAUUAGAUACCCUGGUAGUCCACGCCGUAAACGAUGUCGACUUGGAGGUUGUGCCCUUGAGGCGUGGCUUCCGGAGCUAACGCGUUAAGUCGACCGCCUGGGGAGUACGGCCGCAAGGUUAAAACUCAAAUGAAUUGACGGGGGCCCGCACAAGCGGUGGAGCAUGUGGUUUAAUUCGAUGCAACGCGAAGAACCUUACCUGGUCUUGACAUCCACAGAACUUUCCAGAGAUGGAUUGGUGCCUUCGGGAACUGUGAGACAGGUGCUGCAUGGCUGUCGUCAGCUCGUGUUGUGAAAUGUUGGGUUAAGUCCCGCAACGAGCGCAACCCUUAUCCUUUGUUGCCAGCGGUCCGGCCGGGAACUCAAAGGAGACUGCCAGUGAUAAACUGGAGGAAGGUGGGGAUGACGUCAAGUCAUCAUGGCCCUUACGACCAGGGCUACACACGUGCUACAAUGGCGCAUACAAAGAGAAGCGACCUCGCGAGAGCAAGCGGACCUCAUAAAGUGCGUCGUAGUCCGGAUUGGAGUCUGCAACUCGACUCCAUGAAGUCGGAAUCGCUAGUAAUCGUGGAUCAGAAUGCCACGGUGAAUACGUUCCCGGGCCUUGUACACACCGCCCGUCACACCAUGGGAGUGGGUUGCAAAAGAAGUAGGUAGCUUAACCUUCGGGAGGGCGCUUACCACUUUGUGAUUCAUGACUGGGGUGAAGUCGUAACAAGGUAACCGUAGGGGAACCUGCGGUUG
rnacentral:rRNA from 1 species